rnacentral:pre_miRNA from 1 species
CCCAGAAUCAUCUGGGAUCUUAUUUAAAUGCAGGUUCUGAUUCUGUGGGGAUGGUUAAGGCCUCAUAUCCUGCACUUCUGACAAUCCCCCAGGUGAUGCCUGU